rnacentral:rRNA from 1 species
AGGACUAAGGGGUAGCAGGGAGGGUGUAGCGGCGGUGGUUGGUAGAGGAGCGGAGGGAGGACAGUAACGAGCGGUAACCGGGGGGGGGAAGAGAGGAGAGUGGAGCGUCGUGGUCAUCGAUGGUCUAGGCGGCGUAGGGAGUGCGGCGUCGGUUGCGGGCGGCCAAGGCCACUGAGGUGGUGGCGCGUUGUGUAUCUACUCGACCAGAGACUGGGGAGCAGGAGGUUCGGUCAACCUAGGCGGCGUGGGCAAGGGGACGCGAGCGGACACUGCGGAUCGGACACCGAUCCCAAAGCCGACGUCUAGCGCAGGUAGGAGCCGUGCAGAGGCCGCCGAAGCGAGGUAACGUGUGGCGCGCCUGAGCGCGGUAGAGGUGGAAGACCUACCGAAGAGGAUCGAGUCACACAAGCGGGCGCAACCCGACGUGCCGCCGCUGGGGUUGGAGGAGACGGUGUAGAGACCGCGCCGACACGUAGGACACCGUUGGAGGAAACGUCGUAAACCUGGUGAUCUCCGGGAGGGAACGGGUCCAAGUUGUUCUGACAAUUUACGUUAGAUAUCACGUCCAGUGAUAAGACUUGUUCAAGGACAAGACGUGCGUAUGUUGUAUGAUCGCAGAACGACGGCGCGGUAUAUCUAACUAUUUAACUAAAAAGAGAUUUCAUCCAUUCUCGUAUACAACAACGUUUCAUAUACUUAUAGAAAAACAACUACAUCGACUAACAAAUAAAGAAAAUAGAUUAUUCCCCUUCACCAGACAUACAAAACUUCCCCUCUUAUAAACUCAACAUUUUAACUAACACGGAGAGGACAGGAAGUGUAGACCUGCCUCCCUUGUGUAUUGUCUUCAGAGUUAUAUAGCCACUGUAUCAGACAGUUCUUGGCUAAGUGUAUGUAUAGUAUAUAUGUUCUCGAUCCGUUAGGUAAAAUGUCAAACAUCCAUGCUACGUAAAAAAAGUACACACUUAGAUCCUCUCCACCAUGAUUUUCCAACCGGAAACACAGUCCAUCUUCUCUACAAAUCUAUGUUUUAAUCUAUGUUUUUCCAGCGUCCAUCUUCUCUACAGAUCUAUAAACUCAAUGGCGAUCGCACGAGGUUAAUUGUCCAUCUCUAGUACCCGAUAAGCUUUCCUCUCAUCCUAUACAAGUCUUGUUGUUAAUUUUUACGUUCUUUUGGUACGAACCGAAAGAAAUCGUUGUCAAGUGAAGGUGAAGAUGGACUAACAUGGAGAAAUUACAGGUACUACCAAAAGACGAGACGUAUGUCAUACCCAGUUUUCAGGUUUACCGCUUUUUCCGCGACUGCGGCAAUGAACCUUUGUUAUUAAUUGAAAACAUCAAACAAAUGGAAGAAACAGAGGGCUCAUAUGAAACACACAGGUAUGAAGACAAGGUUUUUCUUUUAACAUUCAUUGUUACUUUCUUUCUUCUUAACUAAUGGACUGAAGAAGUAAUGACGGAACUACAGAAUAAGUUAAUAACGGACUGAAGAAUUAUAUGAACCUACUUAUUAGGAAAACAAAAGGGAAGAAAAACCCCAAACGUUCGUUGUCAAAUAUACUACGACUCAAAAAAACGAAUAAUAUCAUCUUCACUACCUAAACAUGAUAACAUAAAGACCUUUACGCAUAAGUGUCUUAACGUUAGACUUCCUCGCUACCUUCACUUCUAACGUACGAAAAAGAAAUUCUAUGGAUUAUCUACCGUAUAAUAAAAGCGAAGUCUAAAUUCUCACAAGCUAGACGAUGUAGCACGUAAACAAGUCAGAGUUUUAAAGUCACAAUAAGGAUCGUAUAAGAGAUAAAGAGCCAUAAUAAGUGUGGUGCAGUAACCACUUUCGGAUGACCUUUCUUAUUAAUUAAUUACCACACGAUCAUUAGAAAUUUGAUUUUACAAUCCAUAUGUUGGUCUUGAUAUGUUUUUUUCUCUAGUCCAUAUAAGGGAACUUAAUAUAUGAAUUAUGUAAAAGUACACCCCCGAGAAACAUCUUUCGUUAACUCUAUUAUUAGUCCUUAUCUCUUAUACGAUCAUUAGGACGAUCAUUUCUAUUAUUAGUCCUUCACCGUAUAUAUGUUAAAGUUGUGUACGAGAUAGAGUUAAGAAGUAUGGUAGAGUAUGACUUCACUCCCGUUUCUAUUAAUACAUGGAACAUACGGUACUUCCGAUUAGUCAUUUAAUCUCUUACGUACAAAAAAAUAAGGUUGUAUACAGUAACAAGAAGUGUUGAGGGUCCACAACAAUUAGAUCUACACUUCCAAUAGCAUGAUUCACCUAGUAAAUUAAGGGAUUUUACGAGAACGGAAACUCACCAAAAAUAAAGUGUAAUGUACGUUUUCCGAUCAAAUAAUUGUAUUAAUGAAAAUUAACUACUUCUUUCAUACGGAGGUCAUAAUGAUAAGACGAAAAAGAAUCGCACACAACGGGUGUAAAAAUACGAUGGAAUUAUAUCAUCACCACACACGUAGUCUACUAACGAACCUUUUAGUUGAUUAAUAACGAGAAACAUAAGUAAACCCUCGACCGACAAUAUUGAAUAAUAGUAAGACUACACAAAACCUAAGAAACGUCUAAAACGUCAAUCAGGCACAAUGACCUCUAAUUUCAAAAAGUCGUCCUAAUGAACCCAGGUUAAUCGACGCACCUUCACCGACACAUCACAAUCUCUAAUUUUAGUGGGUCAUCACGAAAAAGUUGCCUCAGUACAAUGAGCUAAAAAAAAUUUACGAAUAUCGCGGAAGAUCUAUACGAACACUACAAAACUAUAAUUAAAACAAAAAGUUUUAGUCUGGUCUAUCAUCCUUUAAACAUAACAGAACACUUGUUUACGAUAAAAAAC